UACGUAGGGGGCAAGCGUUGUCCGGAUUUAUUGGGCGUAAAGAGCGUGUAGGCGGCCUGGAAGGUCAGCUGUGAAAACUCGAGGCUCAACCUCGAGACGUCGGUUGAAACCACCUGGCUAGAGUCCGGAAGAGGAGAGUGGAAUUCCCGGUGUAGCGGUGAAAUGCGCAGAUAUCGGGAAGAACACCCGUGGCGAAGGCGGCUCACUGGACUGGUACUGACGCUGAGGCGCGAAAGCGUGGGGAGCAAACAGG
rnacentral:rRNA from 1 species